rnacentral:rRNA from 1 species
AUUGAACGCUGGCGGCAGGCCUAACACAUGCAAGUCGAGCGCGCGGCGGAGGGGUGAGUAAAGUCUGGGAAACUGCCUGAUGGAGGGGGAUAACUACUGGAGACGGUAGCUAAUACACCAUACGCUAUGAUGUGCCCAGAUGGGAUUAGCUAGUGGGUGGGGUAAUGGCUCACCUAGGCGACGAUCCCUAGCUGGUCUGAGAGGAUGACCAGCCACACUGGAACUGAGACACGGUCCAGACUCCUACGGGAGGCAGCAGUGGGGAAUAUUGCACAAUGGGCGCAAGCCUGAUGCAGCCAUGCCGCGUGUAUGAAGAAGGCCUUCGGGUUGUAAAGUACUUUCAGCGAGGAGGCGUUACUCGCAGAAGAAGCACCGGCUAACUCCGUGCCAGCAGCCGCGGUAAUAC